UGAACAUACGUUCGUAGAAGGUUACAGUACUUGCACUUUUGGCGUCUUGUGAUUCAUAACGUUUCCAAUCAUGUGGUGUUGUUUUUAGUUGGUGAUAGGUUCUAGGAAUCACACACCUGUAUAUAACUCCGGUGAAGUCCACUAAGUUUGAGGCCCGAUGAAGCACUGAACUAAUGCGAAACAACGGCUGCUGUCGCCCACCUGUACCCCCUCGAUACUACGUUGUAUGUAGUGAGCAUGUAUUUGCAAUAAAAAGAAGAUAAAGAAGAAAUGGUAUCUUGGCCUACUCCUCAUAAAAAGGUGCUCCAGC